rnacentral:rRNA from 1 species
AUUGAACGCUGGCGGCAUGCUUUACACAUGCAAGUCGAACGGUAACAGGUUAAGCUGACGAGUGGCGAACGGGUGAGUAAUGCGUCGGAACGUGCCCGGUCGUGGGGGAUAACACUUCGAAAGAAGUGCUAAUACCGCAUACGAUCUGAGGAUGAAAGCGGGGGACCGUAAGGCCUCGCGCGAUCGGAGCGGCCGAUGUCAGAUUAGGUAGUUGGUGGGGUAAAGGCCUACCAAGCCGACGAUCUGUAGCUGGUCUGAGAGGACGACCAGCCACAGUGGGACUGAGAAACGGCCCGGACUCCUGCGGGAGGCAGGAGUGGGGAAUGUUGAAAAAUGGGCGCAAGCCUGACCCAGCAAUGCCGGGUGCAGGAAGAAGGCUUUGGGGUUGUAAACUGCUUUUGUAGGGAGCGAAAGGGCUCUCUCUAAUACAGGGGGCUGAUGACGGUACCGUAAGAAUAAGCACCGGAUAACUACGUGCCAGCCGCCGCGGUAA